rnacentral:tRNA from 1 species
AAGGGGUUAGUCUAACCCAAGACCACUAAUUUCGACUUAGUAAAUUCUGACUUCACCCAGAACCCCUAA